rnacentral:lncRNA from 1 species
CAUAAGUGAUCUUAAGUGACUCUCAGAAAGUGGGAUAUUCAAGAUUUUUGGCUGGUUCCAUUGCAGUGACACCUGUUUUUUUUUUUUUUUUUUUUUUUUUUUUUUUUGUCUUUUUCCCAUUUCUUGGACUGCUCCCACAGCAUAUGGAGGUUCCCAGGCUAGCGGUCGAAUUGGAGCUGUAGCUACCAGCCUAUGCCAGAGCCACAGCAACGCAGGAUCCGAGCCGAGUCUGCGAACUACACCACAGCUCACUGCAACGCCGGAUCCUUAACCCACUGAGCAAGGGCAGGGAUUGAACCUGCAACCUCAUGGUUCCUAGUCAGAUUCGUUAACCACUGUGCCAUGACGGGAACUCCUGACACCUGUUCUAAUGAAAGCCGAGGCAGCAGCUUGUUGAGAAAAUCCAGGCACCCAAGAGAUCCUUCUGAGGAGAACAGGGCAGGGCAAGAAAAUGAAGAAAGGAAGCAGCAGAAUUUUGGAUUUCAAUUCUAUUGGCUUUUUAUAGGUGAUUUCCUAUUUGGAUUUUUAAUUCUCCUUGAAAAUCUAAUUACAGGAGGAGGUCUGGCUAAAACUGGAACAUUUUUAUACCACUGACAUUUUUUUAUUUGGAGUAUUUUAUGAUAUUAGUUGGGCUUACUGCAAAAUACAGUCUUUCAAAUUUUUUUUUUUUUUUUUUUUUUUUUUGCCUUUUGAGGGCCACUCUCGUGGCAUAUGGAGGUUCCCAGGCUAGGGGUCUAAUCAGAGCUGUAGCCACCGGCCUACGCCAGAGCCACAGCAACGUGGGAUGCGAGCUGCAUCUGCAACCUACACCACAGCUCACGGCAACGCCAGAUCCUUAACCCACUGAGCGAGGCCAGGGACCGAACCUGCAACCUCAUGGUUCCUAGUCGGAUUUGUUAACCACUGAGCCACAACAGGAACUCCUUUUAGUUGCUGUUGUUGUUUUUUCCAAAUGUUUUUCUUAAAUUAUGACAUGCAGCAGGGAAACGCAUCAUAUAUCAUGGUCCUACAACUGAAGCAACAUUUUUACAAAAUACAAACCUGUCAGCCCGGGCUCCCCUGAAAGCAGAGCCAGUUGACAAAGGCUUGUGUGGGCAGCUUAUCUGGAAAGUGACGCUAGGGAGGAGUGGGAAGCAAGGGAGCAAAACAAUACAGGAGCCUGUGACAGAGGUCACCGUUGUCAUGGUAACCGCAGCUCAAGCUCAUAAAGACCUGCCUGGAGCUCAGGAAAAGCAGCUCAGAACCAGCUCUUGGGGAGCUGCAUGCCUGCCCAGGGUGUCCUGCUUCCAGGGGCACCUGUGUGGACCUGGUCAAAGCAGCAUCAAUGGCUGGAAUAAGAGUGGGAGAGAAAGGACCUGAAGUGGCCAUAAAAGGGGUUCAAAGAAGAUAAUUACCAAGUGCAACACUGCUACACGAUAUUGUACACACACACACACAGACACACACACAGACACACACUAGUUAAGGCCCGCUAACCAGUGCUUCCCAAAGUGUUGUCUGGAGACCCUUUUCAGAAGGUCUGCGAGGUCAAAACCAUUUUAAAAUGACAUCAAGAUCCUAUUUGUCUUUUUCACCCUCAUUCUCUCAGGAGAAUGCAGUGGAGUUUUCCACAGGCUUUGUGGCGUAUGGUAUCAGAACCUACUGAAUGCAGACCCAGAGAUGAGAGCCCAGCUGUCUUUCAUUAAGCCAGAGGUUCAACAGAUUCUACAAAAAUGUAAAGCAAUUCUACCAGUCUCACUGAAUUUGUUCUGGAAAAUAUAGUUAUUUUUCAUAAGGUAUGUUACCUAAAUAUAUCAGGAUGUAAUGGGUUAUUUAUAAAGAAAUACUUAAUAAAUUUUUACUUUAAUUUCUAAAUAUAAUUCA